GGAACUGUGAAGAUUACGUGGGUUUCUGUUUGUAACACACUCAGAACAGUGGCCCGAAGGAGUAGCCUCCGUGUGAAUCAUCGAUUCAAGAAAAUAAACGUCCCAGCUGGUUUACUGGCGACCCAUCAGCUUCCGCGGUAUCUUGUAUGCGAUUCUGGGGAGUCCCCUACUUGCGUCGAGGGAAAAUUGUGCUACGUUGUGUUCAGAAAUCAACCAAGGGUGAUGCAUCAUUCUGGAUCAUCACGUCACGCCUGCAACCCUGCUCCUGCUGUCAAAGUCACACCCGAGGAGCUCAUCACAGCCACCAGCUGCGGUAUUCCAGGGUCCCCGGGAAGACUCGCGUGGAAGACUGGGCUGCACACGCGCCUGCGCAUGCGCUCAGCCCUUCUUAGAAAUCUCACCUACCCGCAAAAGGAUGUUGUUUCAUUAGCAAGCGUUCCAACACCCAAGCCUAUUCGUUGUAAGAGCUGAAAGCGUUUGACUACUUCUUGACGAUUUCCAGGGUUCACGUGUGUUGCUUUAUUAUAAAUUUCUUCCCUUCGA